GACGAACGCUGGCGGCGCGCUUAACACAUGCAAGUCGAACGGAAAGGCCUGCUUUCCCUUGUGGAUUGCGGGUACUCGAGUGGCGAACGGGUGAGUAACACGUGAGUGAUCUGCCCCCAACUUGGGUAUAAGCCUGGGAAACUGGGUCUAAUUCCCGAUAGGACUGCAGGGUGGUGCCUGUGGUGGAAAACGAUUUUCUAGUGGUUGGGGAUGAGCUCGCGGCCUAUCAGCUUGUUGGUGGGGUACUGGCCUACCAAGGCGGCGACGGGUAGCCGGCCUGGGAGGGUGGACGGCCACAUUGGGACUGAGAUACGGCCCAGACUCCUACGGGAGGCAGCAGUGGUGAAUAUUGCACGAUGGGCGGAAGCAUGAUGCAGCGACGCCGCGUGGGGGAUGACGGCCUUCGGGUUGUAAACUCCUUUCGACCGCGAGGAAGCCACCUGGUUGGAAGGGUGGUGACGGUAGUGGUAGAAGAAGCACCGGCUAACUACGUG
rnacentral:rRNA from 1 species